GGUCACAUCACCUUAAAACAUUGGUUCCCAUACGAUCACCGAAGUUAAGCAACGUCGAGCCUGGUCAAUACCUAGAUGGAUGACCGUCUGUGAAUAUCAGGUGCUGUAAG
rnacentral:rRNA from 1 species